GUCAUCAACAGUUUCAUCCAUCAAGGAAAGGACCGUCCAAGGCUGCAGGGCAACUGACCGAAAGUGACGUGUCCCCCGAGCAACCUGCCGAAUCCCUGCAACUUCCAGUUGACCAGCAGGUGUCAGUACAGCCACAUCCUGUGCCUGUUCCUGGUAUAGACCUCCCAUCCAGCCUCACAAUCUCUGGACCUGAGACACGGGACAUGUUUAAAUAAUCCCACAGAAGAAGCAAAUUGCGGCAGAUGACAUCACUCUGAAUCAGGCCUCUGUUAAAGAGCAGAGACGCCAGGUAGGAGAACGACAAGAUGGCCACCACAGCAGACAGCAUGCAGAUGGUUCUGAUUGGGGACUGCUGGAUGUAGACACCAUUUACCAGAGUGCAUCCUGGGAACUGGAUUACAGGCGAUAUCCCAAGCAGCGGCUCCCCGCACAGCACCCGCAACAGCACGCCCACCGCACAGCCCAGAACGGCCCCGUAACCGUUCGAGACGCUGAAGAAGAGGACGCAGACGAGCUGCGGCAGCAUCAGGGUGUAGGUGAGGUCAGAGCGAAGCAUCCAGAUCAUCAGGACGCUGUUGUCCAGGAAGGUGAGAGAUGUGCCGGCCAGGCCCACCACUACCACUGAGGCCCGGAUCACCCACUGGAUCUCCUGCUCUGACGCCUGCAGGGAAGAACAUAAAUAACUGUCAAUUUAUUUCUGAUGCCCUUUUUUUUUUCCUAAACAUUCUAGUUCAAUGACACAUUCCACACCUGUGUCCUCAGGAUGUUCUUGUAGAUGUUGGAGGUGAAGAUAGACGCUGCAGACAGCAGGGCGGAGUCAGUGGAGGACAUCACAGCGGCGGCCACUGCCCCGAUGCCGAUGAUGGAGAUGUAGGUCGGGGUGAGGCGCUGCAGGACGAUGGGCAGGAUGAGUCCCGUCUCCCCCCGUUCAAAAGGAGACGGAGAUCCGUAAGAGCCGCUGCGCCGAGGAGUAUGGGCGGGAUGCCUAACGUGGGAACGAUGAAUGCGGCAGUGAAGCAGGUGAUCUUGGCUGUAGCUGAGGAGGCAGCGGACAGCGUCCUCUGGUGGAAGUUCUGAAGACCCAAGUUUCCCAAACCCUUGAAACACAAGAAAAAAUUACUCGCCUGUCAUGGUGAAGAUGCCGACCACCAGGUUGAUGCCCCGGUUACCCAGCAGAGCCAUCUCGGUCUUAUCCCCCUGGCCCCUCUUGGCUUCCUUUUUGGACUUGAUGGAAGCCCAGAUGCCGAUUCCGAGGACCAGCAGGUAGAAGAAAACCAUAACGGCCACGCCGGGGAUGUUGAGAGCCAUGUCGGAGCUGCAGGAUUCCCAGAGGAAGGCCGAGCGUCUGCCGGGCUGCCUGGAUGAUACAACACAUCCCUCCGCGCUGCUGCAUGAACACAGUCAUGGCAGAAAUGCUCUGAAGCUCAGUGGAGGCGCCUGGAACUGCACGUUACGCGCUGCAGUCAGCUGUCAAGGUGAAACACAGCGUUUUACACGGAGCUGCUCUGUGAUGGUCUGCGUCUGAAGCAGCGCUCACUCAUCUGUGGUGAUUCCAUCAAGAAAGAAAUGUUUGGGAAUGUGCACUUUAACAUUUUCAUGCAGUCAGACCCUCAUUUGAUCACACACGCGUAGCGUUUUAGCAAUAACCAUUUAAUACAUAUACAUAAUAUAUAGUUUUCGUUGUUGGUGGCGGAGUCCGCCAUUCUCAAGUUGCCUCCUCACGCCUGAGGGACUCACAGGAAUCACACGGCAUCAAACUGUUAGUGUUUUUAAUUAUGUCUCGCUGGUCAAAGCCGCGACUAUCUACCAGCAUUUCCUGCCGCGUCACAUUAAAAGCAUGGAAGCAUGGGUGGGAUGGGAUGGCUUUUAUUGUGAUGGAGUCACAGGCAGCGUAGUGAGAACAGGGCUGAUAAAUAAUAAAAGAAUAAAUAAUUUCAAUUUAACAGUCCUCGUGUCCCCUGUUGAUGAACUUAAAGUAAUAUGACCUCAGUGUUUCUGCGGUCCUGGCUGUGGUCCUGGCUAUAAUCCCAGAAAUUUGCCUGCUAUCAUCAAAAUAGAUAUUGGCCAACAUAAGAAAUAUGAGCGAAGGAGAAGCAUAAAUGUUUUACAGGACACAUAAUCUUCAGGAUUUAUUUUGUCAGCACGUCACUCUAAAAACACCACCUCCAGCACCAUGCUGUUUUUCCCAUAACACAGAGCAACACGCUCAGGCCUUUUCACAGAAACAAUAGCUGUGUUCACAGCAUCCCGCUGGUCCCAGGUCAACUGUAGCAAGACCUGAACACAUCAUCUGUAAAGACAGACUGAAAAGAGCCGAGGGGGGCCCAACGGAUUUUAAACUCCGUCUCAGAGCUCGACAAGUGAACGAUGAAGCAGAAGGACAAGUCUUUAAUGUGUUUCUGUGCAGAGGAUCUGAACGGCUGAAGGGGCGACCUGUGCUGUCAGAGCAAUUUCACAGUUCUGUUUGAUUUAUGUUGAUUACUCACAGUCACUGCACCAGGAUUACACUGACACGUUGGGUUUCAUUAAACAACACACAUCAGAAAGAUUUAGGAAAAGUUCUGCUCAGUAGCUUUAAUCUGAAACAGCUGGUGCAGCGAGUAAACAGCUGGUAAAUUAAAGUUCAAAGAAACAAAACCCAGACUUUUGAGGUAAAGUCAGAUUUUUUUUUUCUUUUGUUUUCUGCGUGGUUCUGUCUAACUGAUUGAUGGCUGGAUGUAUUUUUGCAGGUGUAUAUAUAGCCUGAUAUGUACUGUAUGUUUUCCUCCCACUGUUUCUGAGGACGCUCCAUUAAUGGCAAUGAAAUGUUCCUGUGUCUGAGCAACACUGUCAGCAACAGAAACAGCUGGGAAUUUAUUGUCCUCAGUUCAGAAAGUUUUUAUUUUUUUAUUUUUUCCAGUCAGGAAAAUUUCACUAAAGGCCCAGUUCUGUUUUGCAGGAACACUCUGAUCACAGCUACACACUGUGGGGCCAACUGUGAGUUAUUUAAUCACUAUGACACCACAGGAAACAGUGUUCGGUGAUUCAGUUGUCAAACACUGAAGCCGACACCUUCAGUGCUUAACCAGUGGGAUGCCACUCUCAGUCCACUGUCACAUUCUUCAGAUUACAGACCAGCGUCCCAGUGGCACAGACGCCUUGAACUGUUUCCCAUCUCUUUUUUUUUCUGUCGUCAUUUUAACUUUUUAAAACUUGGACAUGAGUAUAAAUCUGUUUUUGUCACUUUCAUAUGAUCUGUUGUAUCAGACACUGCAGGUAAUGUUUCAAAGAACACAUGUUGUG